AACGAACGCUGGCGGCAUGCCUAACACAUGCAAGUCGAACGAAGUCUUCGGACUUAGUGGCGCACGGGUGCGUAACGCGUGGGAAUCUGCCCUUGGGUGCGGAAUAACUUCUCGAAAGGGAUGCUAAUACCGCAUAAUGUCGUAAGACCAAAGAUUUAUCGCCCAAGGAUGAGCCCGCGUAAGAUUAGCUAGUUGGUGAGGUAAAAGCCUACCAAGGCGACGAUCUUUAGCUGGUCUGAGAGGAUGAUCAGCCACACUGGGACUGAGACACGGCCCAGACUCCUACGGGAGGCAGCAGUGGGGAAUAUUGGACAAUGGGCGAAAGCCUGAUCCAGCAAUGCCGCGUGAGUGAUGAAGGCCCUAGGGUUGUAAAGCUCUUUUACCAGGGAUGAUAAUGACAGUACCUGGAGAAUAAGCUCCGGCUAACUCCGUGCCAGCAGCCGCGGUAAU
rnacentral:rRNA from 1 species